rnacentral:rRNA from 1 species
GACAGAGGAGCCAAGCGUUGUCCGGAUUGACUGGGCGUAAAGCGCACGCAGGCGGAACGGCGCGUGGGGUGUGAAAGCUGGCGGCUUAACUGCCAGUCGCCAUCCCAUACGGCCAUUCUGGAGCCUUGCAGAGGGCAGUGGAAUUGCCGGUGUAGUGGUGAAAUGCGUAGAUAUCGGGAGGAACACCUGUGGCGGAAGGCGGCCCCCUGGUUCGGAUACUGA